rnacentral:rRNA from 1 species
GACGAACGCUGGCGGCGUGCCUAAUACAUGCCAGUAGGACGCAGUUGCGAACGGGUGAGUAACGCGUAGGUAACUACCUAUUAGAGGGGGCUAACUAUUGGAAACGAUAGCUAAUACCGCAUACUAGUAGAUGGACCUGCGUUGUAUUAGCUAGUAGGUAGGGUAAUGGCAUACCUAGGACACGAUACAUAGCCGACCUGAGAUGGUGAUCGGAACCAAGGGGACGGAGACACGGCCCAGACUCCUACGGGAGGAAGCAGUAGGGAAGCUUCGGGAAUGGGGGGAACCCUGACCGAGCAACGCCGCGUGAGUGAAGAAGGUUUUCGGAUCUUAAAGCUCUGUUGUUAAGGAAGCGGUACUUAACCAGAAAGGGACGGCUAACUACGUGCCAGCAGCCGCGGUAAUUC